GGGCCAGUAGCUUAGUCUGGAUAGAGCAGCUGCCUCCUAAGCAGCAGGUCGCGGGUUCAAAUCCCGCCUGGCCCU
rnacentral:tRNA from 1 species